rnacentral:rRNA from 1 species
UACGUAGGGUGCGAGCGUUAAUCGGAAUUACUGGGCGUAAAGUGUGCGCAGGCGGCUUCGCAAGUCGAGUGUGAAAUCCCCGAGCUUAACUUGGGAAUUGCGCUCGAAACUACGGAGCUGGAGUGUGGCAGAGGAAGGUGGAAUUCCACGUGUAGCGGUGAAAUGCGUAGAGAUGUGGAGGAACACCGAUGGCGAAGGCGGCGUUCUGGACUGCAACUGACACUGAGGAACGAAAGCCAGGGGAGCAAACGGG